ACGGGGUGCAGCAGGCGCGAAAACUGACCAAUGCGCGAAAGCGUGAGUCGGUCAAUCCGAGUGUAGACCCAUCGGUUUACUUUUGUCAUGUGUACAACGCUUGGCGAAUAAUGUGAGGGCAAGACUGGUGCCAGCCGCCGCGGUAAAACCAGCUCAUAGAGUGGUGAUCAUGAUUAUUUGGCUUAAAGUGUGCGUAGCAGGGAAUUCUAAGUCCUCUGUGAAAUGUCAGGUCUUAAGCUUGACACGUGCAGAGGAUACUGGAAUCCUUGGGACUGGGAUAGGUGUACUGUACGGUUUGGGUAGGGGUGAAAUCCGAUAAUCCAAGCCGGACAACCGGUGGCGAAGGCGGUACACUGGAACAGGUCCGACUGUGAGGCACGAAAGCUAGGGUCGCGAGCCGGAUUAGAUACCCGGGUAGUCCUAUGCCGUAAACGAUGCUCACUAAGUGUUAGGUAAUGCAAGACAUUCUCUAGUGCCGAAGCGAAAGCGUUAAGUGAGCCGCCUGGGAAGUACGUUCGCAAGAAUGAAACUUAAAGGAAUUGGCGGGGGCCUACUACAAGAAGUGGAGCCUGCGGUUUAAUUGGACUCAACUCCGGGAAACUCACCUGGGCCGUAACGUGGAUGAUUGUCCUGUUGAAGACACUGCUUGACGCGUUACUGGAGGUGCAUGGCCAUCGUCAGUUCGUGCCGUGAGGUGUCCUGUUAAGUCAGGCAACGAACGAGAUCCCUACCGUCA
rnacentral:rRNA from 1 species